CAGUAAUGGCAGGUCAGCAUACUGCCGUGAAUACGUUCCCGGGCCUUGUACACACCGCCCGUCACACCAUGAGAGUUGGGGAUACCCGAAGCCUGUGAGCUAACUAUUUAUAGGAGCAGCAGUCGAAGGUAGAAUCAAUGAUUGGGGUGAAGUCGUAACAAGGUAGC
rnacentral:rRNA from 1 species